GGCUAAGGCCUGAACAUUCAUCACCUUGGGUCUCUCUGAAGUCGGAUAUGCCAAAAGCCCCAAACUCUCUGCUUGGUUGCUCCAGGCAUCGGCUACCUGAUUGGCCUUGCCUGGCUGAUAAAGAAUAGUAAUAUCAUAAUCCUUCAGUAACUCCAACCAUCUCCUCUGGCGCAAGUUCAUGUCAUUUUUCUUGAACAAGUGCUGUAGACUUCCAUGAUCCGUGUACAUAUCACAAGGCACGCCAUAUAAAAAAGUGGCACCAGAUCUUCAAGGCAUGAACAAUAGCAGCUAACUCAAGGUCAUGGACAGGGUAGUUCUUCUCAUAUAUCUUCACUUGUCUUGACGGGUAGGCAAUCAUCCUAAUGUCCGUCAUCAACACCGCUCCAAGUCCGACCUGUGAGGCAUCACAAUAAACUGUAUAAGACCCGGAACCAGUAGGCAAUAUCAGAUUUGGGGCUAAAGUCAAUGCUUUCUUGAGCGUCUAAAAUCUUGCCUCACACUCAUCUGUCCAGUGAAAUGGAGCACCCUUCUGGGUCAAUCUAGUCAUAGAGGCUACAAUCGACGAAACCCCUCCACAAAAUGACGGUAAUAACCCGCCAUGCCAAGGAAAAUGUGAAUCUCUGUAGCUGAGGAGAGCGUAGGCCAACUCUGUACGGUCUCACUUCUUCAGAUCUACCUGAAUGCCCUCAUUCGAUACCACGUGGCCUUGGAAUGCCACAUAACGCAACCAAAAACUCACAUUUUGAGAACUUUGCAUAUAAUUUCUUUUCUCUCAUGUUCUGAAGCACUUUCCUCAGGUGUGGCUCAUGAUCUUCCCGACUUCGCGAGUAUACAAGAAUAUAAUCGAUAAAAACAAUGACGAACGAGUCGAGAUAGGUCCUGAAUACACUAUGCAUCAAAUGCAUAAAAGCUAUUGGGGUAUUGGUCUGCCCAAAUGACAUAACAAGGAAUUCGUAAUGACCAUACCGAGUCCUGAAAGCAGUCUUCAGGAUAUCCAGCUCCUGAAUCUUCAACAGGUGAUAACUUGAGCGCAAAUCAAUCUUAGAAAACACCUGUGCGCCAUGAAGCUGGUCAAAUAUAUCAUCAAUACGAGGCAAACGAUAUUAAUUCUUCAUUGUAACCUUGUUCAAUUGACGAUAUUCAAUGCACAUGCGCAUAGAACCAUCCUUUUUGUUCAUAAAAAAUACAUGAGCACCCUAAGGUGAAACACUGCGUCGAAUAAAACCCUUAUCAAGCAAUUCCUGUAACUGAUCCUUCAACUCUUUCAACUCAAGAGGAGACAUACGGUACAGGGGAAUGGAAAUGGGCUGAGUUCCUGAAAACAAAUCAAUAUCUCUAUCCGGUGGCAUACCCAAAAGAUCAGCUAGAAAUAUAUCGGGAUAAUCCCGUACCACUGGGACAGAAUCAACAUAAGGGGUAUCAGCACUGACAUCUCUCACAUAAGCUAAAUACGCUACACACCCCUUCUCAACCAUACGUUAAGCUUUAAGAAUAGAGAUAAAUCUACUGGGAGUGUGAUCAAAAGUACCACUCCAUUCAAUACGUAGAACACCUGGCAUAGCCAGUGUCAAGGUCUUGGCGUGACAAUUAAGAAUAGCAUGAUGGUAUAACAACCCAUGCCCAAAAUAAUAUCAAAGUCAACUAUAUCGAGUAACAAUAAAUCUGCUCUAGUUCAAAACAAAAAAUAGUAACCAAACACAACCGAUAAACGCGGUCCACAGCAAGAGAUCCUCCCAUGAAAGUAAAAACAUAAACCGGAGAGCUCAAUGACUCUCGGGCUAUACCCAAAUGCGGAGAAAAAUAAGAAGACACGUAAGAAUAGGUAGAGCCUGGAUCAAAUAGGAAUGAUGCCUCUCUAUGAUUAACAAAUAUAAUACAUGUGAUGACAGAAUUAGAGGCAACAGUCUCGGUGCGAGCAGGAAUAGCAUAAUAUCUAGCCCGGCCUCUCCCUUGAGGGUGACCACUAGCUCUUCGAUCUUCAUCCCUGGAUGGCUGGGCAGGUGGGGUGGCAGCUGGAGCUAUGAUCAUGGCCUGAGAACUUUGAGAAGCAUUAUGUGGCUGAGCAGUCCGUGGAGGUGCAGUCCUCUCAAGUCUAGGGAAAUCCCUCACCACAUGACGGGUGUCACCACACACAAAACAAGCUCUGAGAGGACGUGGUGGCUAUGACUAGCUGGGGCCAAGUCUGCUAUACUGACCUCUAAAAGUACCCCGCGCAGGAGGCGUGCUAGAAACUCGAGGCGCAUAAUAAGGCUCCUGAGGUAUAGGUGGAGGUGGAGCAUUGCUGGCUGCUGGAAGAUCUUAAUGAACAGGGUGACAAAAAAACCCCUACUAUAUCGACCUACUGUUGGUGUACAGGCACCAGAGUAGUGGCCCGACUCUUGAGACCUCUUAGCCUCUUUGUCCCCUUUCUCCCUGGCGAGCAUAACCUCGAUCCUCCUAGCAAUGCUCACUACCUACUGAUAAGGUAUGUCCAUCUCCAACUCUUAAGCCAUGCUAGAUUUGAUGGGUGGGACAAGACCCUCAAUGAACCUACAAACUCUCUAGCGAACUGUAGCAACCAAAGAUGGUGCAUGUCUAGGCAACCUUGUGUAAUGGAUGGCAUACUCUAAAACUGUCAUAGCACUAUGGCGCAAGUGCUCAAACUCUACAACCAUGCAUUCCUAAGGCUCUGGGGAAUAAACUAUCUGAAAAACAUGUCCGAAAACUGGGUCCAAGUUAGUGGAGCAGCCUCGCCUGGGCUGUCGAUCUCAUAAAUGCGCCACUAAUCAUAGGCGGCUCCCUAAAGCUGAAAGGCGGUACAGGAAACCCCACUAGGCUCUACUAUAUCCAUAGUGCAACGAAUACUAUGAAACUCCUCUAGAAAUCCCAAGGCAUCCUCCGAUGCUAAAUCGCUUAACACAGAAGGCCUAUAUUUCUUAAACCUCUCAAGCCUCGCUGCUCGUCCUCUGAUACAGCUGACCCACCCUCGGGAUGAACUGGCGCUAUAUGCGGCACACGAAUGAUCUCUAGGACGUGCUCUAUAUGCAUUCUAUGCUCAGGAGUACAGGCUGUGGGUCUCUUGGCCCCUCCCCCGGCCUGGGAUGUGGUUGCAGCAACGGGAAGAAACCCCACCUAAGUCAAGAUGGUGUACAUAGACAUGAACUGAGCUAAGGUCUCAUAAAGGGCUGGAGUAAUUGUCAUGGUAGGCAUGUCGGGUGACUGAACUCUGAAUGGAUCCGUAGGCAAUACCUCAAUAGUAGCUCGUACAGGUGCUUUGGUUGCACCACGUGCGCGUCCACAGCCUCUACCCUGGCACCGGCCUCUGACGGCUACAACAGGGGUGCGCGGGUGCCUGAUCAUUUGAGUAGCACGUGUUCUCACCAUCUGUUAGAGAAUAAAAGACAAAAGUUUUAGAAUCGAUGUCAAAAUAUAGCACUACAAGGAAUUCAAUGAAGUGCAGAUUUUUCCUAAAUGGUUACAUAGCCUCCCGGGGAUCUCUUGUUAUCCCGCACUCUCAAUCUAGAACAUACCAAGUACAUGGGGAUCUCUCGGGAAACUGUCCCAUAGUCCCAAAUUAAACACACAGUAGCGACAACUCAUAUUCUAAGAAUAAUUGCUGAAUCGGGACAAGAAAUGGUAAAUACUAGCCUAACAUGCUUCACAUAGUGCAAAUAAUACAGUUAAUCAAUUAAACAAGUAAGUCAGCUAAACAUGCUUCUCUAAGCUAAUACAGGUUGAACUAACAGUCUAAAAUGAACAAGUAAUUAGGAAUCUAAAUAUAAAUAUUUCAAGUAAAAACGGGUUUACAACAAUUAGCUCAAGUACGCGCUCAUCACCUCACACCCCGGGCAUUCAAAUACCAAGGAUCAUGUCCUGAGGGGAAAGGACCCCCACACAAAGUUAGACAAGCCACUUACCUCGAACCGGUACAAAAUCGACUAAGAAAUCACGCCUUUGCCACGAGUAUCCAACUUCGAAUGGCCCAAAUCUAUUCAAUCUAAUUGCAUAACGUAAAUAACAUCGCAAACAACUGAAUUCACUAUUAAAAAUUAAAGUCAAGGCGCGAAGUUGAACUAACAGUCUAAAUUAAACAAGCAAAUCAGAAAUCUCAAUUUAAAUAUUUCUAGUAGAAACGAGUUUACUAAAUUAAGCUCAACUACGCGCUCGACACCUCACGUACGAGGCAUUAAAAUACCAAGAAUCAUGUCCUAAGGGGAAAGGUCCCCCACACAAGGUUAGACAAGUUAAUUUCCUCAAACCGGUACGAAAUCAACUACGAAACAAUGCCCUUGCCACGAGUAUCUGAUUGUGAAUGGCCCAAAUCUAUUCAAUUCAACUACAUAACUUAAAUAACAUCGCAAGCAACUGAUUUCAUUAUUAAAAUUAAAGCUAAGACAGAAAAUAGGUAAAAUGACCUAAAUACCCCUCAGGCCAACGUCUCAUAAUUUAAUAAUUUUCACAUUUCAAGAACCGUCGUACUCUAACGAGUCUAACCAUAUAAAAAUUUCCCAAAUCGGAGAUCAAAUGACUACUCAAAACUCAAUAAUUAGGUCUAAGAAGUUUCAACCAUCACAAAUUCGAAUUCGAAUGCUGGAUUUAAUGAUGGAUUUAACUAGAUAUUGAUGGAAUACAACUAAAUGAGGUUAAGGAAACAUUACCCAAUGAUCUCCUCUUCAAAAUCCACCAGAAAUCGCCUUUUCCCGAGCUAAUUUGAUUUCUCCAACUUUUGAAUUAAACCCUGUGAUUCUACUAUUUCAAAACAAGCAUUUCCGCUUCGGUGGACAAGGAACUACUUUUGUGGUUCCGCAUAUGUGGACCCCGAGUCGCUUCUGCGGUUCAUUCAAAAAACGAAAGUUUUCUUCUGCGAACUAUUAACCGCUUUUGCGGUUCCGCUUCUGUGGGUACCAAACCGCUUCUGCAGUCUCAGCAGGGAUGGACCAAGCCCGCUUCUGCGGCUCCGCUUCUGCGGUUCCCAAGCCGUACAUUCAAGAAUACUAGAAGAUAAAGGGAUCAGCUGCUGUACAUUUCCAAAAAUCCUCCGUUAACCACCCAAAAUCAUCCCGAGGCCCCGGGACCUCAACCAAAAGCACCAAUACCACCUAAUACCUUAUUCAAACCUGUACCAAUCCGUAACACACCUAAAACAAAACCGGAAACUUGAUUAAAUCCAAGAUUCAAGUCUAAGAACUUCAAGUUCAUCCAAGAUACACUUUCGGUCAAAAACCUAACCAACACUCGUCCUAUUGACCCUUAAUUUUAAACGCACGUCCCAAAUGACAUGAUGGUGCUACAGCAACUUUCGAAAUUCUAUUCGGACCCUCGGAUCAAAAACUCGCUAUCAGACCGGAAACUUCAAAAAUACAACCUUCGGCAUUGCUAGCCUAAAUGAGCUACGAGCUCCCAAAAUAGUCUCUGAACACGCUCCCGACCCUGGAAUCACCUAAAAGAGGUAACAGACCCGUCGAAUUUCUAUUCUGAUACCGUCUUCACACUAUUUUGAUUACGGAUCACUUUCUAACACUUAAGCUCUCAUUUAGGGACUAAGUGUCCCUAAAUGCUCUAAAUCCUAACACAGAAUGUCUCGGUAAAAAAAAAUCACAGAAAUGGACUUAGGGCAGUUAAUGGGGGAGCGGGGCGUAAAUUCGAAAAAUAACCGGUCGGGUCGUUACAGGCUAUCAGCACCAACAAGCAACUGGGGUAUUUUGAGCGAGGUCUAGUGGAGCUGGAAGGAAAGUUCAUCAAGAGGAUUAAAAACUGUCAAAACGCUGAGGGAAAUGCGGGCGGAUAUCUAGCCCGAGCUUAUCUACUGCUAGGACUACGCGAGCUGGUGAAGCUAUUCGAUGGGGAUAAUGAUGCCGUGACUAGGGAAGGUCCUUCUGGGACCGAGUUAUUGGGAGUCUUUUUCUUUUGCUUUUGUGAUGUAAUAAGACCAGUGUCCAUUAGUGAUAUUUUAUUUUAUUUUGCAAUUUUAGUAUCGUUUUGGGAUUUAUCUUAUUUUUAUCAAUAAAUUAAGGCAUUUAGCAUUAUAAGUUCUCUAAAUUAAUUUGUCGCUAGGCCUACCUCGGUCAAAAUGAGGCACCCAAAUUAGGAAGCGAUUUAUAUUCUUGCACGAUGUUUAAAUAUUGCAAUGUUUUCUUUUCAUAACCCUCAGUGACUUAUUACCUUUUUGUUUUUACUUUUGUUUUAUUCCCCUCCCCGAAAGGUUAGUUCGUGCACUCUGGCAUCAUCAUCAUACUCUACAAGAUCCAAGGUCCCUCCACCACCUCCUCUUCCAAGUCCUAUCAGGAUCAAGGACAAGACAAAAAUGGAAGACAUGAACAAUAUCAGAAAGGAGAACUCGGGUGGACGAACAGAGGUUACUCGAGGUAGCCAGAUCUCCAAGGAAAGUGGUGCCCAACUUGAGCAAAAGUUAUUGAAGUUCCAAGAAGAACUGGAAUAAGUUCGAAACCUGGCCAACUUGUCAUUUUCCCUUACCACUCUCGAUAUCAACUUUCCCAACACCCAAAAUCGCGCACCUCCACAGAACACCCCAUAACUACAAAAACAAUCCACUCAUACUCAACAUUGCAACACCUUCAUAUACGUGGAAACCAUACCACACUAUACCCAACCAAUCUCAAGAAGACCUGAGUCUAUAGACAAAGUUUAUCAGGAAACUGGCUGCAGAAUGCAAGAAGUUGACUAGCCGAGUCCAGGUUGUUGAAGGAAACAAAGGCAUUGAGGGGAUGAAUUAAAAGGACCUAUGAAUUUGGCCAAAUGUUAAACUUUCUGAGGGGUACAAACCUCACAAGUUCGAAAUGUUGGAUGGCACAAAAGAUCCCAGAGUCCAUUUGAGAACAUACUGUGAUAAACUGGUUGGGGUCGAAAAAGAUGAGAAAAUAGGUAUGAAGCUCUCUAUGAGAAGUCUAAAAGGCGAUACUUUAUCUUGGUACAUCAGCCAAUACCCCAAGAAGCGAAAAUGUUGGGUAGGUAUGGCAUCCGAUUUCAUGGACAAGUUCAGAUUCACCACAGCGAAUGCACCAGACGUAUUCUACAUCUAGAAUUUGAAUAAGAAACCUACAAAGACAUUCCAAGAGUAUGCUACUCGUUGGAGAUCAGAGGCUACUAAGGUCAGGCUGGCCUUAGAAGAGGAAUAGAAGAAUUGAUUAUCCGGCCGGGCUCAGGAUCCAUAAUAUUAUGAAAGGUUGAUGUUGAUCGAGGGCCAGAAAUUCGUCGAUAUCAUCAAGCUAGGGGAAAGAAUUGAGUAAGGCAUUAAGAGUGGUAUGGUUACUAACCUUGAAGUAUGAGAGUCCACCAACAAGGCUCUACAGUCUGGUGGCACAUCAAAGAAGAAGGAUGUAAGUGCCAUGAUGGUCGUGUAGAGAACAAUAUCCCCGAUAAAAUACCAAACUUACCAAUCACCUCCACUUACAUAUCAGCCUACCCUAAAUUACCAAGCACCCGCAACCUCCUACCAAAAUCUACCACCUGUUUAUCAAUAAUCUCCACCUCCCACAUAUCAGCCCACUUCACCCAGAUAUUCCCAACCCGCACCUGUCUACCAAGCUUAUAAUGCUCAACCCUCUCGCUACCAGUCGCCUCCCACUCGCCAAUAUUUCCCUAGACCUAGACUAAAUUUUGACCGCAGACCUCCUAGACCAUAUACAACCAUCGCCGAACCAAUUGUCAGAUGUAUGAAAGACUUAAAGCUGCUGGUUACGUCACCCCUAUCCCUGCCGUAACUCAAAAAAAUCCUUCCCAAUGGGUAAACCUGAACAAGACCUGUGCAUACCAUUCCGCCAUGAAGGGGCAUACCAUUGAUGAGUGUCGCUUGCUAAAAGACAAGAUCCAAACCCUUAUCGAUUAAAAUAUCAUCAUAGCAAACGAGACUACUCCUAAUAUUCGUAACAACCCUCUGCUUGAUAAUAAGGGUGGAGGCAUUUACAUGAUCGAGAUCGAAUAUCACUAGGACCCCAAAGGGUCAAUAGAAUUGAUUGAUGAGGGUGAUGACCUGAAGAAACCAACAAUCACACUUAACACAAUUGUUGUCUAGAAUCAUCCCUCCGGGGGUGAUGAAGUAAGCAUGUCUAUGCCGCUCGAGUUCGAAAUACCUUCUUCUGCAAAGGUGCUCGGAUCGAUUGAAGGCGCGUUUGGAGUUCCAAAAGCACCCGCGCCAUACAAAGUUGAUGUUUUACCUCCAAGGGUCCCUAUUCCUAUUGCAAUGUCAGACAUAACACCGUUCCACUCAAAUGCCAUACCAUGGGAUUACACAGCAAAAGCAAGAAGCAAAGGGAAAGCCAAAUUUGUAGAAGCAAUUGUUGUGCAAGGUAUGACCAGAACCGCCAGAGUUUGCGCUCCAAAAAACCUAGCUGAGUCCAGUAAGAAAUCCUCUAGAUGGCCUGUUGAAACUAGGCCGAUGAUCUUUGGAGAAAGAUACAAGCAAAGGAGUACUCAAUCAUUGAACAACUAAAUAAGACACCCGCAUAGAUUUCCAUCCUGGGCUCUUCUGCAGAGCUCUGAUGCACACAAGAAUGCCUUGAUGAAGAUAUUGAGUGAGGCAUAUGUUCCCAAGAACAUUACUGGAGGGGAAAUGGCAAUGGAAAACAUGGUAGGAUAGGUACUGGAGAGCCACAAAAUCAACUUCCACGAAGGUGAGAUGCCAGCUGAAGGGAUGAGUCACAAUAAGGCAUUGCACAUCACCGUGCAAUGCGAUGAUUAUUUUAUUACUAGAGUACCGAUCGACGGGGGAUCCAGCCUCAACAUAUGUUCAUUGAAAACCCUUAGAACAUUGGGGAAAAGCCUGCAUGAGAUCAAAGAUGGGGCCAUCAAUGUCAAAGCCUUCGAUGGGUCCCAAAGAUCCACUAUUGAGGAAAUUAGUUUAUUCCUGUAGAUGGGAACAACUUUUUUUGACGUUCACUUUCAAGUGAUAGACAUCCCACCAUCUUACAACUUGCUAUUAGGGCAGCCCUAGAUUUAUGCCGUCGGAGUCGUAGCGUCGACCCUGUACCAGGUAGUAAGUUCGAGUGGAAUAAUCAAGAUAUGAUUAUUCACGGCGAUGGUAGCAACCCCAUAUAUAGUCGCCAGACCAUCCUGAUGAUUGGAGAAAGGAGGAGAAUAGGCGGAGAAACCUACUAUCACAUCGAGCGGGUCAAUGCUGUGGACAAAGAUAAAUGGUGGGAUAACAGGAUUGAAAGUAUCCUGAAUAGGUGUGGAUAAGAUCCUAGAAAAGGACAUGGCAAAAACCUCCAAGUAAUCGCCAAACCCAUCAAGCUGAGAAACAUGGUACCACCUUUGGUUUGGGGUAUGAAUACACCUGGAAAGAGUUCGAAGAAUGGUUUCCACCAUGGAGCGGUCCCAAAUCUCCACUAGAGCAUAUGAUACCUCAUCAAGAGCAGACUUUUGAACCGGCAGAUACUAUAUAUGGUUCAGAAGGAGAUAAAGUAUUGGCAGUAAUGAGGAAUCUAUUUCUGGAGGAUAUUGAUAUGGACUAGUGUGUUAUUUUUUAGGAGGAGGGAGAGGAAGGCCCUUCCAUACAAGUUGUGAACCAAGGAGAACGCCUCACUAAUUUUUCAGUUAGAACCAUCAGGGCAGGGAAAGCUUCAGGGGUAGAAAGGCUAAACAAAACACCCCGCAUCACAUUUUACUUUUUAGUAGUUGAUUUCUUUUCAUAUUUUUCUUAAUUUUUGAAAAGAUCUUCGAUGUUCAAAAUAGUUAUGAAAUUUAAUCAAAGCAUUUCAGUUUCUUAUAUAUCUCGCUCUUAUUAUCCUUAAUUUUCUCUAUCAUUUUACUUUAUUUACGCAACUUUACUAUUACUUAUCUUGAUGAUGAACCGAUGAUUGUGACUUGCAAUGAGACAACGCAACAAACGGAUAUAGACUCAGAAGAGGAUGAUAUACCAGAAGAGGUCGUUAAAGAAGUUGAGGAUUUUGAAAAUAGGCCUAAGGCUAACUUGAACAAAAUUGAGGUUGUCAACUUGGAGAUACAAAGAAUGUCAAGGAAACACAUAUCAGUGUUCACCUGUCACCAUCAGAAAAGAAAGAGUACACGGAGUUUCUAUAGGAAUAUGAGGACAUAUUCUCCUGAUCGUACGAUUAUAUCACUGGUCUCAGUACAUCCAUUGUAUCUCACAAACUGCCAACAGAUUCGACAUGUCCACUGGUAAAGCAGAAACUUAGAAAGUUCAAGCCUGACAUGAGUUUGAAAAUCAAGGAAGAAGUCACCAAGCAAGUCAAAGCCAAGGUUCUCAGGGUGGUAGAGUAUCCAACAUGGUUAGCCAUAUUGUGCCCAUACCAAAGAAAGAUGGGAAGGUUAGAGUAUGUGUCGACUACCGGGAUCUUAACAUCCCAAAGACGACUUCACCUUGCCAAACACGCAUUCUUAUUGACAACUGUUCCAAGAAUGAAUUACAUUCAUUUGUUGAUUGUUUUGCUAGGUAUUAUCAGAUAUGGAUGGAUGAAGAAGAUGCAGAGAAAAUAGCUUUCAUUUUGUCGUUGGGGAUGUAUUGUAACAAGAUGAUGCCAUUUGGAUUAAAUAAUGCUGGGGCCAUAUACAUGAGGGCCAUGACUACUAUCUUUCAUGACGUGAUACAUAAGGAGAUCAAAAUGUUUGUAGACAAUGUCAUCAUCAAAUCUGAGAAAGCCACAGAACACAUGAAAGAUUUGAGGAAAUUCUUUAACAGACUAAGAAGGUACGAUCUGAAAUUGAAUCCCAUCAAGUGUGCAUUCGGGGUUCCUGCACGGAAAAUUACUAGGGUUCAUUAUAUGCCGCCGAGGAAUAGAAUUGGAUCCAUCAAAGGUUAAGGCCAUUCAAGAAUUGCCACUGCUAAUGAACAAGAAGGUGUGAUGAUUUUCCCGGGGAGACUCGACUAUAUCAACCGGUUUAUAGCUCAGUCCACUGUCAUUUGUGAACCCAUCUUUAAAAUGAUGAAGACGGACGUUGCUACCAAAUAGACUGAAGAUUGUCAAAAAACCUUUGACAGAAUCAAGGAAUACAUGUCAAUGCCGCCAGUUUUGGUUCCGCCUGAACCAGGUAGACCUCUAUUGGUCUACCUUGCAGUAUUGGAUGGAGCAUUCGGUUGUGUUCUGGGACAACACAAUGAAAUAGGGAGAAAGGAGCAAGCCAUCUACUAUCUCAGCAAGAAGUUCACCCCGUAUGAGGCCUGGUAUUCUCUAUUAGAGUGCACCUGUUGUUCUCUGACUUGGGUAGCUCAGAAGUUGAGGCAUUAUUUCUUUGCCUAUACCACUUAUAUCAUAUCAAGAAUGGAUCCGCUGACGUAUAUCUUCCAGAAGCCCAUGCCCACUAGAAAGCUCGCCAAGUGGACAAUCCUACUAAGUAAAUUCGACAUUGUUUACGUAACUAAGAAGGAAAUCAAAGGACAAGCAUUGGCAGAACAUCAAGUGGCAAAUCCUACUAAGUAAAUUCGACAUUGUUUACGUCACUAAGAAGGAAAUCAAAGGACAAGCAUUGGCAGAACAUCUCACCGAGAAUCUCGUGGGCAGAGAGUACGAGCUUAUAAAGACGUAUUUUCCCGAUGAAGAGGUAUCUUUCAUAGGAGAAGAUAUUAUAGAAUCCUAUGAUGGUUGGAGAAUAUUUUUCGAUGGAGUAGCAAACUUUAAUGGAGUUGGCAUAUGAGCGGUCCUAGUAUCAGAAACUGGCAAGCAUUACCUGGUAUCUGCCAAACUCAGAUUCACAUGCACCAAUAAUAUGGCUGAAUAUGAAGCUUGCAUCUUUGGGCUCAAGAUGGCCAUUGAUAUGAACAUUUACGAGUUGCUAGUGAUCGGGGACUCAGACUUACUCAUACAACAGGUACGAGAUGAAUUGGAAACCAAGAACUCUAAGAUACUCCCCUACCUGCAUCACAUACAGGACUUGAGGAAAAGAUUCCCAAAGACAGAGUUUCAGCACGUCCCUGAUAAGUUGGUAUUUUGCUAACUUAUCUUAUCUUUAAACCAAUGUUUUUGCAAUGUUUGAGUGAUAAAAUAGUGUUUUAAUGUCGCUCACUUCCAUUUUACAGUUUCUAUGUGAUUUAGAAGUAAAGGGUGGAGAAACCAAGUGAAAACAAGUAAAAAGGAGCUAAAAUGGAAAAAGUGCAACUACCGAGUGAUUUACUCUUCGCGAACACGAAGAGAGAGUGCGAACGCGAUGAAGCAGGAUCCAAAAUUUUGCGAAUGUGAGAGUGGACCAGUCAAACGUGAUGGUUAAUAAGUCAAACCUAUGUGAACGCAUAGGGUAAAUGCAAAUGUGAAAGAGCAGAAUAGCAAAGCAUCGCGAACGCGAUGCUGUGACCGCAAACGCGAAGAAGAACUUAGGCGUGAAAACUUGGCAUUUUGGAAUUUCACACUUUUUACCCCAAACCCUUUUAUACUCAAAUUAGCUCAUUUUUAUGGCAUCUUUGGCUUAUUUUCAAUUUGUAUAGACUAGAUAAAACAAGUUUGAAGCUAGGGUUUUGCACAACAUACUUUGAUCUUGAAGAUUUGAGGCUUGUGGUUAAGAUUUUCUUACCCAUUUAUGUUGAUUUAUUCAUUUUCUUGCUUUGCAUUGUUUAUCUAAGUGUGUAGUAUUUUAUUCAACACCUGAAUCUAGUUUAUGGGAAUAUUAAUGUGUAAAGUGUGGAUUUAAUACCUUGUUGAUCUUUUGUAUUGAAUGAUUUUUAGUUAUUUAUAAAGUGAUUUAUUGUUACUUUAAUUAUUCUUCUUCUUUAAUGUUUCAAAAGGGAUUAGCUAACCCUAGGACUCGCCCAUUAACUCUGAAUAGAUUUUGGAAGAGAUAUUUUGGGGUUGGAAAAGAUUAAUUAACAAGAACUUGAGGUGUUAACCAUCAUAUUAUAGAUUCUACCAAGAUAUAGGAUUGAACUACUUGUAGCCUUCCGGGUAUGAUUAAUCUUCUAAUUGUUUUAGGGAUAAGUCAAUAAGGAAGUCAUGUUAGUCUUCGGAAGAAUCUAAUUAAGAAUUAUCAUCUGUGGCUAAUUAACAUAAACUCGUUCAUAUUUGUAAAAUCGUAAAAUACAUUGGAUCGUUACUAGAGUGUGAUUCCUGAUGCAUUUAUACUAGUAGCCAUUGAUUAUUUUACUUGCUUUCUAGGUUAGUUUACAUUUCCGCAUUUAGCUAUAUAUAUUUUCAACCAAAAUUCUUAGUAUUUGGUAUUGCGCGAUAAGCGAUAAUUUUCUUACAUUCCUAAUCACCAACACAUUGUUCCCUGUGGGAUUCGACCCCAACUCAUAGUUGGGUAAAUUAUCAUGGUUACAUGCAACCAUCUAUGUAUUUACCUUACAUUAUCUUACUAAAUCAUGCAUGACUGUUAUCGAGAUUGCUUUGUUUAGCAAUGCUACUCCAAUGAAUACACAACGUCGAGUAGGCCGAGCAAAGGACACGGGAAGACGAACUAACCUUCCCUCAUUUAACAAAACUCACAAUUAUUCUUUAGAUGCAGGCACUCAAUUCGCAAGGUCAUUAGAUAUAUUUAUGCACUCAUACUUUCUCAAGAGUGCAACUUCUCAAAAUCAUCAUCGAUUUACAACUAUUAUCCGUACACAACAUCACCAACAGCCACAACGAUGCAAUCAGCUAUCAGCUAUAAUCUACCAACUAAGACAUUUCAAUAUUAUUUGCCUUUUAUUUCCUGCAUUGCAUAAGGAUACUCUUCUGCCUUCCGAGACUAAGCAUUGUCUCCAUCUUCACAUCCUUCCAUUGAAUAAGGCUACCUUUAUGACUUUUGAGACUAAGCGUUGUCUCCAUAUGUAUUUUGCAUUGCAUAAGGCUAAUCUUCGGCCUUCCGAGACUAACAUUUUCUCAAUCUGCACAUACUUGCAUUGCAUAAGGCUACAUUUCUGCCUUCCGUGACUAAGCAUUGUCUUCGUCUACAUUUUGCAUUGCAUAAGGCUGCCUUUCUGCCUUUCGAGGUUAAGCUCUACCUCCAUCCUGCAUUUCUCAAUGUUUUACAUCAGGCUACAUUCCUGCCUUUUGAGACUAAGCAUUUUCGCCAUCUCCAUUAUCUGCAUUGCAUAAGGCUAACUUUCUGCCUUUCGAGGUUAAGCUCUACCUCCAUCCGGCAUUUCUCUACAUUUUGCAUAAGUCUACUCUUCUGCCUUCCGAGACUAUGUAUUGUCUCCCGCUACACAUCGUUGCAUUGCAUAAGGAUACAUUUCUACCUUCCGAGACUAAGCUCUCUUCGUCCGCAUUGCUAAAAUAUCGCCACCUUCAUUUAAAUUCUGCACCGACUGAAAUAUCGCCACCUCUUGCAUCGGCUGAAAUAUUGCCAUUUCUUAAUUGGCUGAAAAAUCGCCACCUAUUACAUUUCAUUGGCUGAAAUAUCGCCGAAUUUUCCAAAGGCAUCAUUGUUCGGAGGAACCAUUUGCAUAGCUCGAGAAUUUCAUGACAUGGCCUAAGGACCCCGUUUUAUCUUUUUUGUAACAUUAUUCAAAGGCAUCAUGGUUCAGAUACAUCAUUAUCAUAACCAAAGAAUAUCAUUUCUUAGAAUGUCAAUCCUUUAUCAAACACUUCAUGGCCCCGGACAGCAUUGUCUAAGGACAUCAUCCUACCCAUCCAAAGACAGCAUUCAUAGUCCAAUGGGAGCUUGCAUCACAUUUGAAUGCGUACACAAAAUAUGUUGUAUUGCUCACAUGCAGGUACACCGGCUAGCAACGGCCAUCUCAGCAGAAGCGAUCCCGCUCCAUCUCCCGCAGCAUAUCAGAUUUCAACCACUUUACUCAACAUAUACAUCGCAUAUGCCUUUUAAAAUCUCCAUCGGCAUAUUCCGUUAAUGGAUCCCGAACUACAUAUGGCCUGAUUCAUGUAAGACCAUGGAUAUGUAGGUAUCUUAGGGACCAGAUUUUUCGUCAAAAGUUUUGCAAAUCGGCUCUUUCGGUCAAAAUUGGCCAUCAUAUCUUUACCCAACAACCCUUUCAUCCUUCCCGGGUAACGAGGGGCAGCUGUUGAUACCCAAUUUUUUCCUAGGUAUUUUUAUACUAAAAAUACUUUCAAAAUAGCAUAUACAUGCAGAUAUGGGUAUACCCAAGUGUUUUGGAAUUUUUCCAAAUUUUUAAAGAUUUUUCAAAACCAAUUUAUUGUCUAUUUUAAUACUACAAAAAUUCAUUAAUUAUUCCCAAAAUUAUCAUUUUUGGGAUAAUCCAUUUUCAUUCUCAUAUAUACACCAAAUAUAAUUAAGGUGAUUUUUUAUACAUUUUUUACAAAUUAAUUUGGUAUUUCGAAGCUAAAUUGGACUUAAUUGCAGUUUUAGCCUAUUUUACGUUUUAAUUGAAUUUAUAAUUAAAAAUGAAUUCCAGAAAAUUUAGUAUAAUAUUUAUAUAUUAUUAAUUGAAUUAGUAUCUUUAAUUUGUUUCCAGAAAUUGUUUUACUAUUUCUUAAAAAUAAAAAGGGAAAAAGUGGCUAUUCAAAUGCUAGCAAUAUUUUACUCCAAUUAUACCACAUUAGACCCCAAAAUGAGCCCAAUUUUAGACCCAAUUAGCCUAACCCAAUAACCCAUUUGAACUAACCCAAUGGUCUCCCACCUAACCCUUUAAUCCCUUUACCGUACCUUACUUCUCACCGACCGCUGCCUCUAAAACCCUUCGCUCUCUCAACUUCUCUCAAGAACCCUUGCUGCUACAUCACCACCUAAAUCGACCAAAUACAUGGCUUUCAAAUCCAUUGAUGGCAUGUAUCUACCUCAUGUGACUCCUACACAUUUGAUUACCAUGGUUUCGAGGUCAAAUCUUGAAGAAGCCUGGCCCAGACCUUGUCCAAUUCGGAGAUUCCGACCGUCUCUAGCCUUGCUCCGGUGGCUCUUGGUCUUCUAAGGCUAUUUCCGACCUCGUCCGAUUUAUAUCGGCCUUUCCUAGCCUUUCUCAUUUUAGGGUUCUUCUAAAACCCUAACCGUUCGAGGUUUUCUCCGAUUUUCUUAGAUUUGUUGUGUAUUCAUGCUCUAUCUGAGUUUGUUGAACGAUUUUUCUAACUUUUCUUUCAAAAAAAUACUUUUUGAAGACUUUAUUUUACGAUCGGUUUUCUGAAAGUGUUUAAGUGUCUCUCUGACUUUCUUUUCCUUGUUGUGUUUCCUCUACUAUAUUCUUAUGUUAUUCCCUGUACCAUGUAUGUUUUCUACCUUCCAUUCUUAUAUGUUCUUCUACUGUAUUUUUGAUACCAUGAUCUUGUGUGCUUUUCUACUAUGUGUGCUAUGUUUCACCUACUUUAUUGUUGCACCAUGUUCUUAAAUGUCCUUACUAUUUUUCUUCUACUGAACCUUAUUUAAGUCUCUUUUAAAAGAUCUUCUUAAGCAUGUUUUUCUAUUGUUCUUAUCAGUCUUUCUCUUCAAUGCUUUGAAUCAAUUUCUUUUCUCUAUUUGAUUCAAAACUUUCUACUAUAUUUACAUUCUAUUCAUGAGUUCUGUUGCUAAGAGCAGCCAGUUAGAAGUUUCAGUUCUUUUCUGAAACCUCUAAACAUGUUUCGAUUAAACCGCUUUCCCUCUGAUCUUUGCUUUAUGGUUUGCCCGAACUGGGGUUCUUAUUUCAAACGCCCCCCCUCCCCCAAUCUUUUAAGUUUCGUAUGAUUCUAACCUUUUGAUAAACUCUUCUAAACUCCGUUAAUGAGUUUUCUACUGAUUUUACAAUGGCAUAAUAAUGUUAUCUCCUACUUAACAUGUUUGUAUGCUCUUUAUAUGUGAUGAAUCUUUCUUCAAAAGGGAUUCCCAACUUGUGAUUGAUUCACAAUUCCUUUAAUUAUUUCUAAUUGAUUGAUUUCUUAUUUCCCUUAAAAUGUUUUCCAUCUUUUUGACUCGGUUCAUUCAUAACCUCUGAUUCUUGGCUAUUAAUUGACUUUCUUUCCUUAAAUUGUACAUCCAUAUUUUUUAGAAACCCUAUCCUCAAAUAACAUUUAUGUAUUUGCCCUCAAUUGCAUGCUUUACAUAAAGUGUUUAUUAAAUUUUUUUCCUUAAAUAGUUUUAUCCGUUUGAAUAUGAAUCCCUUAAUUAUGGGAAGCCUUGUGUAAUUGAUUAUCAAUCAGCUUUCAAAUUAUUUCUUACCUUGUUUUCACAUGUUUUCUACACUAUAAAUACACGACUUCUUUUUCACAAACGACACACUGAAUACACUUCAGAACUUCACUAAAUCCUCACAAACUCUUUUAAAACUUUCUGAACUUUGGCUUUUGCAAGACUUUUGCUUUCGUUUUCUUUCUUUUUCUGAAACUGGUAUGUCCUAAUUUUGAUUCUAGCAUCAACUCCAUUGUGUUUACUUACCAGUUCUUAUGUCCAUGCUUACUUUACUAAUCUGUAAAAUUCAACCUUUAUGGUAAUAUGCUUAUGUCUUGCUAUAUGUUACUGUAAUGAAUCCCAUUCCCUGUAUCCCUCUAUGUGUUUGAGCUGUAGUUUAAGACAUGGCAAUAUACAAAGUUAUUUUCCAUGGAUAAAACUGGAUCCAUUAGGUCCUAGGCUCUUUCAAUCUCCCAUACCACAUUCCCUUAUAUGUGUUUGAGUUAAGGUAUAGCUUGGCAGCAUCCUAAUUGUUGUCCAGGGUUAAACCAGACCUUCAAAAGGUCCUAACUCUCUUAUUUUUAGCUCCCAGGCUUGCUAGGGGUGUGCCAGCACUCCAAUUGCUGGGCAUAACCACCAUCCUUCCUUGGCAAUCCCUAAUUCCCUCUAUGCACUUACACUCACUCUUAGAUCCUGAGUUCUGCUCCCAUCUUAUGAGCCUUGCCUUGGGACCUUGAGCUCUCUCUAAACUUUGACAUUGGAGGGCUGGCCCUUACACACUACACUUUAAUCAAAUUCUGCAACGAUAUAUGGGGUAUAAGUAUUGCUUGGAGUUCUUGAAACUCUUUGGAACUUUGACACACCCUCAGAUAAGAUAAAGGCUUGGAACAUGAACCCGGAAGUUGGUUCAUCUCAUAUUGUUAGAGCUUGAGUCUCGAUUAGGCUCCUUGGUUGUAGCUUAAAUUUUUGAUGUAAUUUACUUUUCUUAAUUUGCUCUAGUCUGUAAUAAUUUGUAAUAACUUAUGGGUUUUUAGUAAAGAAUGGGGAGGUUCACUUAUGCAUGCAAGGGGUAGAUAACAUGACUAUACUAUUUUUGAGAUUCUUAUAAUUUCUGAAAUUCUGCAUCUCACCUUGGGACCAUGCCUAUAGGAAUUAGUGUUUCUAAAGUUCUGCAUUUUUCACUAGAAUUCUGCAUCUCACCUAGAAAUCAUGCCUAUAGGAAUUAUUAUUUCUAAAGUUGUGCACUAUAAAUCAAUGAAACUUUGCAUUCUCAUAUAGAUACCACGUCCUUAAGAUUUUUUGCAUUCUCAUAUGGAUACCAUGUUUAUAGGAUUUUUUGUAUUCUCAUAUAGAUUCCUAUAGGGUUUCCUACAAUUUCAUAAUAGAUGCCAUGCCUGUAAGUCGAUUCUAAAAUUAUGCAUCUUCAUAUAGAAACCUUGCCUAUAUGACUUUCUGCAUUUUUCAUUCGUCAUUAGGAAAACCUACUAUAGGAUUUAAAUAACUAAUCAAUUGCAUGUAGACAACCUGCCUAUAGGAUUUCUGUAUAAGCAAUAACAGUUUUCAAAAUUAGUAACACCUAUAAAGCAUGUCUACAGAAGCUGUUAACUAAACUUGAAUUGCCAAUUCAUCUAAAAUCUGUAGCGAUAACGUCUAAACACCUGAAGGACUUAUGCAUUCGUUACCAACAGAUCUUUUCUGCAAUCAGUUUACUCUCUAUUUUUCUGAAUUAAUAGAUAUCAUGCCCAUUUUCGACGACCCCUUUUUCCAAAAGCGAAAUCGGGUUUAGGACAUUAUAGGCAAAACAACCCUUUAUUCCCGUUCGGGAAUUGGGUUACGGAAUUUAAAGAGCCGCCACCUAAUGAUUAUAGUGCAGUAGGACACUUCUAAGACGAAGAGGGUAUUUUGAAAGAAAAACCAGAAUUCGGGUAAGGGCUUGAGAUUGUUUCGAGGGGAAAGUGGUAGGCAUCCCUCCAGAUCCACUAGUGUAGUUUACGACCGUGCUUAAUUGUGACUUUAAUAGGAAUAGAAGGCUCACAUAUAAGGAAUUCAAAUAAUUUGAGAGUUUUUUUAAAAAAGGGAAGGGCAUAAAGGAUUUUAAAGCAAAGGUAAGGGAGAAAUCAUUUGAGGGAAAUCGUUACCUUAAGAAAACAUUUAAGCAAAAAUAAGCAAAAGAGGAAGAGAUCCUAGGUUUGACUAUAAUAUGGAUCACAUCGGUACAAUACCCCUCAUACACUCCUCAAAGAGGGGUCGCCUAUGAUAUUAGCGCACCGGUCAUCAUCUUCAUAUUCUACCCUUCUCACCUGUAGAGGUUAUUUAAGCGUGUGGAUUGGUCACGAAUACUUAUUGCAUGCUAUUACCCGUCCCAUUCUAUAGAUCCUAUAGGGCAUUUAGGAUCACUAUUUUUAUAUGGUAGGAACUAGGCUGAACCCUUAAGUUUAAAGGAUAAAAUACUAAGCAAUGUACAAGAACAAAUAGGACUUGCACAUAAAGGAAUCACGUAAAACUUAGAAAAGGCUCAAAUAUCCCUCUAUAAGCGAACACGUAAUUAGCACAUCUCAAACACAUUUAAGGUCUAAGGGAGAGAGUUUUUUUUAAAGCUGGAGCAUAAGUUAAAACAGAAGCUGGAGUACGAGUUAAAACAGAAGCAAAAGAGUUUGCAUAAAAAAGUUGUGAGGAAAGAGUUCAGACCUUAAGAAGAAAAAAAAAAGUAGCAUUUUUAGAAAAAAAUAAAACUGCGAAGAUCGUUUUAGAAAGAGGUAUGGAAUGCCUGGUAAAACAAUUUAUGAACAGGAAAAGUAAAAGAACAUAUAUGAAAAGUAUUUCAGAACGAGGAAAGCGUUCCGACCUUAAGAAAAAAGCAGUAGCAUUUUUUAGAAAAAAACUGUGGAAAUCAUUUUAGAAAUAGUUAUGGAAUGCUUGGUGAAACAGUUUACGUAUAGGAAGAGUAAAAGAACAGAUAUGAAAAGUAUUUCAGAAGUGUAAAGAAAACAGUGAACGCUAUUAACUUUCAAAAUUUAUACAGUAUUCAAACAGUUUAAAAAAAAAGAGUAAUCAAGUUUUGGAAAAAAAUACAGUAGAAGCAUUUGCAUAGAUAGUUUGAAAAUAGGGCAAAAGUUUGUAUUAAAAUUAGAAAGCUUCAGAGACAAACGAGUUUAGACAGAGGUGGAUUAAUUUGAACAUAACUUAAAGGUGAUUAGUGAGUUUUUAUCAUGCCUAAGGCUUGCGUAGGCGUUAUUAAAAUGGUGAGCAUGCAAUGUUUCCAGUUUUAACGAGCAAUUAUUAACCAGUUUUAACCCCGAUUAACGAAGUGUUUAAACAGUUGCAAGUAAAGUCCUAAAGGCAUGGUAUCUAAUGCAAAAAAGGUUCUAGAAACACGAUAUCUAGAUGUGAUGAUAAUGACUCAGUGAUUAUUGAUUAGUUCUGGUUGUGAGAUUACACAGAAUAACAAACUCAAAGUGAAUAACCUAAGAACAUGAUUUCUAUAUGCAAAGAUGCAUGUCCUAAACAUGAUAGCAAUUGCACAAAUAAGUAAGUAAAGGCCUAUGGACAUGUUUUCUACCCAUUCCCUUAAUUAAACAUGCAUAGCCCCCUAUAUUCACUUUAUACCCCAUUAUUCUUACAAAUUAUUACAUCCCAAAUGAAUAAAUUACAACAGUGAUAAAGGAAAAUAUGAAGUUACUCUAUAGAGUGCCUUCAGCCAGGCCAAACAUCUCCAACCUCACUUCUUUCAAGUUUCACAGCCAUUACCAAGGCUUGGGUGCGGCAAAGUUCCCUAAGGGUUCAUUUGAACCCCUAGCCAAUACAAGCACCCAAAAUAUCUUUAUUUGACAAAUGCAAGUGUGGAAGUGCCAGCCUUAUGCAUCAAAUUUCAAUGGGUGCUCAAAGGCUCCCAAGGCAAUGCUUACACUAAGGGGGCAUAACCAAAUGUUCUAAGAAUAGUGAAAUUGUGAUAGGAUUUAGAGAGUUUAAAACAGUUUGAGAGUCAGUUUAGGAAAACAGUAGAAAGAUUUGAGAGACAGUUUGAGAAAACAAUAGAAAUGAUUAAAAAAGUUGAAAGAGUUCCUUUGAAAUCAUUUAGAACUGACCAGUUUUAAACAGAGCAUCACACAAACAGGGCCAAAGGGGAAGGGAACAAAUAUAUAACGUGAACUACACAGACAACAUAUUGAAGAAAAGUAAUUAGACGUGGUUGCAAACAGGGGUUCAGUUCUUACUGCACCAAACCCAAUACAAUCAACCUCAGGAAGAGGUUUUAGGCUAAUAAAGUAGCCAAGCAGACCUGGAUACAUGGUAUUAACACACAAAGAAAAGUAAACGUCCAUUGAGACAAGGAAUUGGGUAAGGUUAACAUGAUAAGCUAAACUAAGUAGACUAGUAAGUGCAUGCUAGUGACAAUAAGAACAGCAGAACCAUAGAUAAAAGCACACAAGGAACAAGAUUAAGUGCAGGACUAACAAAAGCAUAUUGUUUUGGAGACUAUAUAUUAGAUAAGUAUCAUACCAGUUUUAGGAAAAUAGAACACAAUGAGCAAUGAUGCACAAGAAGAGCAGAGUGAGCAGAGGAUGUGAGUAGUAGUGUGAGAACAGCAAACCCAAGUAAGCAAUGCAGUAAAAUCCCAAUAGUGCAGUAAAACAAACCCAAGUUUACUCAAUCUUGGCUUUCAGCCGAUUGAAUGUACAAUAAGAGAAUAAGAGAGUAUGAAAUAGUAGAGAGAGUAUUUAGAGAGUUUUAAAUUGUGAAAGAUAUGUCGUGCGUGUUGGUGUCUUUCAAAGAGAAUCGGGGAGGGUACUUAUAGUACCAGAAACGAGUACACAAACAAAGCAGCAAUCUUUAAUUAAGGAACCAGUAUCAAUAAAAAUUCAAUUAGUACCGGGACUCCUCCUUUAACUAUGGAGUCAAAGACAAAUGGUAACAAGCAUUGUUUUCAAAAGGAAAGGAAUCAAUUAACUGCUGUGUUUACCCUAGUGAAAGUAGCAAAGCACAUAAUAUGCAAUAGGGGAUAGUUACAUGGUGAAUCAAUUAAGGAAAAUAUACUGAAGAUUUUGAAAACCUGUUUAUGCACAAAUAUGGUAAGGAAAUACAAGCCAAUUCUAACAAUGCAUGGUAAAUCAAUUAAGGAAACUAUACUGAUGCUUUUGAAAACUUGUUUAUGCACAAAUAUCGUAAGGAAAUACAAGCCAAUUCUACCAAUUAGUCAAAGAAUCUCGGACAAGACCAAAAUCAGAGGGAAUUGUUUCUAAGUAAGGAAAGCAUACCCAAAUAAGGAAGUAAUUUCAAAAGUAAUCAGUAAACGCUUAAGGAAAAUCACAUACAAAUAAAAGAUUCACAUAGAUGUACAAAAUCAGUAGAAUAUUGCACGAAAAAUGAACAUUUAGGCCUAUAAAACAUAAUAGACAUGGAGUUCAGAGAACCCUAAGCAAGUAAACAUGGAAGCAACAAAGGGUCAGAACCCUAGCAAGAAAUUUAUAGCAUGGAGCUCAAAUUAACAAGGAAACCAAACAACUCGUAACAUGGACAAACACAAAAUAACACAUAAUACUCCAGAAAAGUAGAAGAAGUGAUUUCUACAAAGGGGUCAGAUACCCUAAUUUUGAAAAAGAGAAAAAUCAUCGGAAAACUUGAGAUAAUCAUAGAUAUUGAAUGAAAAUUAGAGUAGAAAACAAAGAAUCAAACUGAAACUCAUUUUAAAAGCACAAAAUUAAAGAGAUUUGAGUAAGAAAUUAGGGUUUGCAGACAAGUUAAAAAAGGGGGAACCUGGUUAUGAAACUCAUCAAUAAUGCAAUAGAGAGCAUUAUCGUGUAAAAAAUACCAGAGAAAGGCCGGCACAGACUCAGACGAGUUUCAAUCGACCGUCUUACAUGGCGGAAGCUUCUGGACUUCGAGUUUGAGAGAGAAAUAGUGAGAUAAGGUACCAUGGUGAAUGGUGGUCGAGAGGAAUGAGGGUGGAGGUGGCCGGAAUGGCGAUGAAAGCCAUCGGAGGAGAGAGAGAAUCGGGAGAUUCUAGAGAGAACCAUAGAGAUGAAGGGUUAGAGAGAGAGACCAAUCUCGGCAGAAUGAGGGGUUAGGGUAAUUAGGUUUUAAUUAUGAAAAUUAAAUCUAGGCCGUUGAUCUAAUUUGAUCAUGGCUCAAAUCAAAUCUAGGCUGGGUCGGGUAGAUUGAUGGGUAUUGAGUUGGGUUAUUCUACAAAUUGGGUCGUCUAAUUGGGUUCCAAAAUGGGCUUACAUAGGGGUGGAAUUUGGGCUAUAUUUUAAACAAAAUCUGGCCAUUAUUUAGAUAGCCCAUUCUUCCCAAUUAAUUUUAUAAAAUAGCUGAAAUGGUUUAAAAAGCAAAAUUGAAAGCAUAGAACUAGUUAAUAACAUAUAAAUAUUAAUAUAAAAAUAUUAGAAAUAAUUUUAUAACUACGAAACAGAGUUAAUUGCAAUAAUAGGCCAUGAUUAUUAUUUUGUGCAAUUAGCUUUGCAAAAUUCCAAAUAAAUCUGUAAAAAAUGUGCAAAAAUUACAUAAAUUAUAUUUUGUUGUAAAUAUAAGAAUGAGAAACAUUAUUCACCAAAAAUAAUAACUUGGAAAUAAUUUGGGCCUUUAUAUUGUCAAAAAUAGGCAGUAAAUUUUCUUUUAAAAAUCUUAAAAAUUAAGGAAAAUAUACCAAAACUUCCAGGCAUGCUUAUAUAUUCAUACAUAUACUAUUUUGAAGGUAUUUUGGGUGCAAAAAUAAAUAGGAAAAAAUUGGGUAUCAACAGUUGCCCCUCUUUACCCAAGGAGGAUGAAAGAGUUGUCGGGUAAAGAUAAGAUGGCCAAUUUUGACUGGAAGUACGAAUGUUAGAGAAUCUUGACCACGCUCCAGUUUAUGAGCUACCUACAUAUCCCUAGUCUUACAGUAAUCAUGCCAUACGUAGUUCAAGAACCAUUGGCGGAAUAUGCCGAUGGAAGUUUGGAAAUGACGGAUGUAGGGGGAUUUGGGAUUUGACAGGGGUUUGGAGGUCAGAUAGGCUGCGGAGAACUGGAGCGGGAUUGCUCCUGCUGAGACGGCUGUGAGCCAGCCGGUGUACCUGCGAAUGAAUGAUGUGCGUAUAUACUGCAUAAUAAUUUAAACGUGAUGCAAGUUCCCGUUGGACCAUGAGUGUUGUCUUCGGACGAUUAGGAUGGCGUCCUCAGACUAUGACAUCCUGGGCUCUGAAGAGCAUAAAUGUAAAGAUUCGCAUACCAUGAAAUGGUGUUCUCGGGCUAUGCAGAUGGUGCCUCCGAACUAUGAUGCCUUUGAAUAAGUUGGCGAUAUUUCAGCGCAUGAGAAGGUGGUAAUAUUUCAGCCAAAUAAAUGCGAGCGUGGCGAUGUUUCAGCUAAAGCAAGAAUUUAAAUGCAGGGUGGCGAUAUUUUAGCCAAAUGAAACAGGGUGGCGAUUUUAAGCCAAAUGCAAAAUAAAGGAGGUAGUGCUUAACCUCGGAAGGCAGAGAAUAGCCUUAUGCAAUGCAUAUGGAGACAGAGCUUAGUCUCAAAAGGCAUAAGAUAGCCUUAUGUAGGAUAGAGGUAGAGCUUAACCUCAUAAGGCAGAGAAUAGCCUUAUGCAAAAUGUAGAUGGAGACAGAGCUUAGUCUCGAAAGGCAGAAGAUAGCCUUAAGGAGAAUGGAAGUAGAGCUUAACCUCGAAAGGCAGAGAAUAGAGUUACGCAAAAUGCAUGUGGAGACAGAGCUUAGUCUCGAAAGGCAGCAGAUAGACUUAUGCGGGAUGAAGGUACAACUUAACCUCGGAAGGCAAAAAAUAGCCUUAUGCAAAAUGCAGAUGGAGACAGAGCUUAGUCUCGAAAGGCAGAAGAUAGCCNNNNNNNNNNNNNNNNNNNNNNNNNNNNNNNNNNNNNNNNNNNNNNNNNNNNNNNNNNNNNNNNNNNNNNNNNNNNNNNNNNNNNNNNNNNNNNNNNNNNNNNNNNNNNNNNNNNNNNNNNNNNAAGAUGGAGGUAGAGCUUAACCUCGGAAAGCAGAGAAUAGCCUUACGCAAAAUGCAGAUGGAGACAGAGCUUAGUCCCGAAAGGCAGCAGAUAGCCCUAUGCAGGAUGGAGGUAGAGCUUAACCUCGGAAGGAAGAGAAUAGCCCUAUGAAAAAUGCAGAUGGAGACAGAGCUUAGUCUCAGAAGGCAGAGAAUAGCCUUAUGCAAGAUGGAGGUAGAGCUUAACCUCAGAAUGCAGAGAAUAGCCUUAUGCAAAGUGUAGAUAUGUAAAGGAGAAAAUAGUAGGGAGUUUCUUAGCUGGUGAGCAAUCGCGAUAUCAUGAGUGUUGGGUAAUGUUGGGUGUAGAUAGUAAACUUUGUGAAAUGAGUAGUUGUUUCGGGGGUUUCGACUCUGUAAAGCACAUGCAUUGCCGAUUUGUAUCCUAAAUUCCUACAUCUAAAGAAAAAUAGUGAGUUCUAUAAAGGGGGAGGUUAGUUUGUAUCCCUCGGCUCGUGUCGUCCUGUACCAUUAGGGGUAGCGUUGCUGAACGAUAGUGAUCCAAAUGAUUUUAUGCAAAAUUUUGACAAACGUGAUGCAAAUGUAUACAUGUAUAAGUAAAGAAAAGGAUAGUUUUGUUUUAUGAUGCACCAACAACUGCAAUGUGGUUCAAGUUACAGCAACCUUGCUUGCUCCGGAAUUUUGAGGGUCCUCUUCAAAAUUUUGCCCCAGUUUACUGGGCUGGCGUUGUUGAUAGCUGUACUGAAUGACUAAAAGCGGAUUGACCUCCUCAAAAUUCUGCCCCAGUUUAUUGGGUCGAUGUUGAUGCGAAAGCUAACAAACUGACUUAGGAAUUUUGAGGGACCUCCUCAAAAUUCUGCCCCAAUUCCAAAUAUGGGGGAAAUGGAAUUUUAUUUAAGAUGUGACCAAACCCAUAGGGAUGCUUACGUAUCCCCUCUUAAACGGGAAUCUAGGCAGGUGUAAUUCAAAUUACAUCAUAGGAAAAAGCAUAAUGAUUAUGUGUAGUAUCUCCUCACUGCAUCUGAGUUGAUCGGUUUUGGCCAGACUUCUCCGUCCAUUUCUGCAAGGAUGAGGUCCCCUCCAGUUAGAACUCAGUGAACCAUGUAUUGACCCUGCCAGCUGGGAGAGAAUUUCCCUUUGGCUUUAUCUUGGUGCGGAAAUAUCUUCUUUAACACCAGCUGUCCCGGUGCGAACUUCCUUGGUCUAACUAAUCAAUUGAAAAUCAACAUAGAAUUUAGUUUUAGAUUCAAAAAUAUUACCUCAACAAGUUUUUCCGUGAAUCCCUGUUCAAAACCAUCCAAAAGCUCUAAAAAUCGAGUUGAAAUUGUGACGAACACCCAAAAUUCACGUAGGAAUCCUUUAAUUUUGCCCAGGCAUCUAGCACCUGCGGCUCCCUUUCACGCUUCUGCGGUCAAAUCAACUGCACUUGCGGUUUUCACUUAAAAUCCCAUGACCGUAUCUGCGACCAGGCAGUGCACAUGCGGUCCCGUAGAUGAUCCCAACACACCACACUUGUGGUUCUUCUCCUGAUGGCCAAAUUAGCAUUAUGUGGCCUCGCACCUGCCGUCCCCAAUUCACAGGUGCAGAAAUGACAAAAGCAAUAACCCAUAUCCAUCACGAGGUCCUCGGGACCUCAACCAAACAUUCCAACAAGUCAUAUAUCACCGUUCAAACUUAUUUCAAUCUUCGUAACACUUAAAACAAUAUCAAAAUAUCAAAUCACACUCGGAUUCAAGCCUAAGGUUGUCCAAACUUCUGAACUUCACAAAUUAUUCAAAACCUAUCAAACCUCGUUCGAAUGACCUGAAAUAUUGCACACACAUCACAAGGGACACUACGGACCUACUCCAAUUUUCGGAAUUCCAUUCCGACCCUGAUAUCAUGAUAUCCACCGCCGAUCAAAAAAUGCCAAAUCUUUAAUUUUGCCAAUUUAAGCCUAAAUCUACCACGAACAUCCAAAUUACAUUCGGAACAUGCUCCUAAGUCCAAAAUGACCUAACAAAACUAGCCGAACCAUCAUAGUUCACAUCCAAGAUCUUCUACGCAUAAGUCAACAUCUGGUUAAGCUUCCAAAUAAGGGACUAAGUGUCUCAUUCCAUUCUAAGACCACUCCAAACAUAACAUAACCAACACGAUAUGAUGAAAUACAUCUGAACAACACACAAGGAAGCAUAAAUGAGGGAAAUGAGGUUGUAACUCAUGAAACGACCGGCCAGUCAUUAUAGUAUGUCAGACUCCGGAAGGGCGGAUCCUGCCCAAAUUAUAAUCACAUAGACCAUAUAAUAGGUCCUGGUGAACACGUCAUCCAAAAACAAUUACCUUAGCCUAAUAUGAGCCUGGUGUACGCGUCACCUCAAAAACAAUGCCAAAUCUGCACUAUUGGCCAAACUCAAUCAUCAACUAGUCAAGUCUCAGUUAACCACAUCUCACAAUAAUCAAUUUCAACAAUGUUACACAUAUAAGGCAUCAACAACAUGUAAGGAAUCAAAUAAGUAUGUACUGAGGUAGAGAUAUCAUACACGGAUGUAGCAUCAUAACUGAGAGUAUGUGUACAAUUAAGGCAAAUAGCUUAGAAACGACAAGAAUAGUCCUAUCAAGUAUCAAAUGAAUAACACAUAGCCUAGACAUGACUCGUAACAUGAAUCAGAGCUGAAAUGAUUGUACGCCUUUAGAAAACAUGGAUAUGACAAGGCAUGAUAGCAAAACAAUCCCAUGAUAGCUUAAAAACCACCUCUAAUCAUGAACAGUUUGGUGCACGCACACGCGCUCAUCACCUAGCACGUACGUCACCCAAUACCUCUCAUAUAACAUAGUUUCUAGGGAUAAGUACCCUCAAGUACGAGUUUAAAUAUGUUACAUACCUUAACACACGCAAAUCAAUACUCCAAAAAGCCCUUGCCACAUGAAUCGUCCUUCGGGCGACUCGAAUCUAGCCAAAGCAACUUGAUAUCAUCAAUUUAAAUGAUCAAAAACAAUUCCAAAUGAUAAAUCUAUGUCUUGAAUCAAAUUUGCAAAAUUCAAUCCAAAAGUCAACCUCGAGCUUGCAUCCCAAAACCUGACAAAAUUCACAAAUUUCGAACAUCCAUUCAAUUACAAAUCCAACCACACUAAUAUCUUCCAAUUUCAUCCACAAAUCGACCCUUAUAUCAAAAAAUAUCACUCUCCAAUAACAUAGCCCAAAAGCCCCAAAUUUCACUUUAAAUUCACAAAAACUCGGUGUAAUAAUCAAUAGGUAAUCAAUAUUUAUCAACAAAAUUGAACAAUCUUUACACACAUCUUUAAUUGUAGCAAAUCGCCUCUCAAAAAUCGCCUCCAACCGAGCUCCAAAGUUCUAACUAUGAGAAAAUGAACAACCCUCAUUUUAAAUCCUUCUUCCAAGUGAUUCUCAUACCUCCGAAUCACUUAACCGCACAUGUGGUCCUGCUUCUAAAGAGAAGCCGCCACAUUCGUGGCUCCCCCCAUGCGCCUGACCGUCCGCUUCUACGGGCAUUCCAUUGUAUAUGCGAGUCAUUUCUGCAGACUACUUUCGCAUCAGCAGUUCCCAACUUCAAGCAACAUUCUUCUUCUGUGAUCUCCUUUGUGCAUCUGCGCACGCAAACGUGCACCCCGAUGCCCGCCCCGAUGCCCGCAUCUGCAAACUUCAUCUGUAGCCUCUUCCCUUCGCUUUUGCACUCACAUUCCCGCAUCUGCAGGCUCGCAGAGUGCGGCAAUGCCCUCACACUUUGCGAUUUUCCCCAACCUUUGCCUAGACCACAUCUAUGAUCACUAGGCCACUUCUGCGGCCUCGUAGUUGUCCAAUCUCUCACAUGUGUAAUUGCACCAGAAUCAGCAAUCCUUCAGCCAUUUCUCUAAGUCCAAACAUGAUCCACAACUCAUCUGAAUCACACCCGAGGCCGCCGAGCUCCAUCAAACAUGCCAACAAAUCAUAAGAUAUGAUACGAAAUUACUGAAAGCCUCAAAUCACAUCAAACUACACCAAAACCACUGAUUGCACCCCAAUUCAAGCCUAAUGAAACUAAUGGACUUUCAACAUCUAAAACUCAUGUCGAACCAUAAACUCAACUAUUAAUUACCUCAAAUUAUGCAUGCAAGUCCCAAAUGACAGAACGGGCCUAUUCCAACUCUCGAAACUGAAAUCUGAACUCGAUAUCAACAAAGUCAAAUCCCGGUCAAACCUUUCAACCUUGUAAACCAUCAACUUUCCUACUUUUGCUAAAAAAAAUCAAAUUAACAUCCGGACAUGUGCCUAAGUUUAUAAAUACCAUUUUAGAUUCGUCUACACAAAAGUCAAACUACGGUCAACUCUUGCAACUUAAGCUUUUAACCUUGUGACUAUGUGUUCCAAUUCAUUUUGAAACUUCCCCAAAACCAAUCCAACUGUCUCGGUGAGUCAAUAACAACAAAUGAACAUAGAAGAGGUAGAAAAUAGGGGAAAAGGAUUGCAAUACACAACACGACAUGUCAAGUCAUUAUAGGUGUCAUCUUCUUCUUGCACAUUAAAAGUGUUGAUCAUAUCACUUGUUUCAAAUUGUGCAAUUUCUGAUGAAAUUAUAGCAACAUCAACACUGGAGGUGAUUGCAUUUAUAAUAUUUUAGCAAAUGAAACACAUAGUUAGGGUGUUAUUAGCCCUACACUUGAUUUUUUCCCAUUCCAUGUAAACACUAAUGCUCAUAUCGCUUCAAAUUGUAAUUGACGAAUAUCCUUGAACAAUAGCAUACCGAAUAACCAUUGUGCUAUUGUCUUUCUGCAGCUUCUUUGCAAUCUCUCUGAGAAGUUGUUCAAAUUUCCAACAGGUCUUUAUUAGAACUACAUCAAGAUAAAAGUUUAUGAAAUUAUGGUUAUCAUCCCAUUCUCCAAUUCGUUAUAGCAACAUUGGCAUAUGUUUCUUGGUUUUACAGAGUCUCAAAUUAGAUUAUCAAACUAAACUACUUUUAUCUCGAAAUGUAAGUCUCAACAGUGCUAAUUUCAGCACUCUUACUGUCAAAUAGUGAAUUUGAGCAGGAAUUCCAAACUUAAUCACUUACUAUGAUUCAGAACUCGAGAUGCUCAGAUCUCCAAAUUGACAAUUGAAUUUCAGUUAAUAAUUAGUUUUUAUUUGACUCUUUUACAUAGCUUGAGUGCUAAACUGCUUUUAUAUCCAAAGUCGAAUCUCGAUAGUGCAAAUUUCAACUGUUAUUGUUAAAUAAUACAUUUCAAUAAUAGAUUUUUCCAACUCAAAUUGCAGGCUAUGAUUCGAACCUCCAGAUAUAUAGAUCUCCAUGCUAAGAACAUAAUUUUUUACUUAAAAAUUUAGAAUUUUGAGCUCUAAACUUCUUUAAUCUCUAAAAUCAAAAUAUGAACAACACGAUGCGAAUUUGUGCAACAAAAGUUUCAGCAUCUUCGAUAACGAACCAAUUAGUCGUUUUACCUUAUAGAUCCAUGUUCCCCUGUUUAAGACUCCUCUUAUGUGCUUUUAUUAUUUUAUGACUUGCGAGAAUAUUUGGUUUUAUUUUGGAAGGGUUCGGGUUGAAUUCGGAACACUUAGUUCCAUAAUAGUGGACUAAGCUGGCCAAGUUUGACUUGAGUCAAUUUUUUUAGUAACUAACCAUAGAGCCGGGAUUUCGAUGUUCCAAUAGGCUCUUAGGAUGAUUUUGGACUUGGUCGUAUGUUUGGAUUGAGAUUUGGCUAGGCUGGGAGCCUUUCUGCGCUUAUUGUUCAAAGUUGGCGUUUUGAAUGUUUUAGAAUUUCCUAAGUUUGACUUGAAGUAUAUUUUGGCAUUAUCAAUGUCCAUUUGGUAUUUCAAGCCUUGAAAUAGGUUCGUAUUGUGAUUUUAGACUUGUGCAUAAAAUUUGACGUCAUUCUGAGUUGUCUAAAUAUGUUUCGUCACGCGGAGUUGGUUGAAAUGAGUUUUGAGGCUUAAAAGUUGACUAAUGAGAUUUGGAGAUGCGUUUCUUGAUACGGUGUUGUUUUAUGGAUUCCAUGCCACACCCCAGCUUCGGGAGGCGCAACCGGCGCUCAAUCAAGUGAAUCCAACUGAGAAAGUCUUAUCAACCACUACCUACCCAACUCAAUAGGAAUAAGGAAGCCAUGCUUACCUUUAUUUAAACUACGAACGAUAGUACAUUCAAUUUCCUAGUUCAUCUUAUAUUACAACAUCAAAACGUGGUUAAACAUCCAAGGUUCCAUAGGAGUUAUAAAGAAAGAGCACAAGAUUACAACUUGGUCCAUUGAUCUAUCUCAUACCCAUACAUAACCCACCACAAACGUCUACGGAGCCUCUAAGGACACAGAAGACAAUGAUAACAACGCCGGAAACAAGGCCCCAGCUAUACCUCAAAAGUGAAAGUCCAAAAUAAGAAGAUACACAAUAUAACCUCUUGAAGGAGAAAGGGGCUCACCAAGACUCUGUGACGAAGGAUGCUCCGCUACACACGAUUGGCACUAUCCGCUAUGGAUCCAACUUCAUUCAUUUAAAAAUGUAGUGCCCCCGGAAAAAAGGACGUUAAUACAAUGGAAUAGUACUAGUAUGUAUAACUAAACACCAUUUUACUAGAAAGAACUAUCAAACAAGUAAAAGUAAAUCACAUGAGUACAUCAAGUAUACAAAUCACAUAAUCUCAUAUAAUUUCCGAAACUUAGUUUGGGGCAUUCCUUUCACAUGUUCAUCAUUGGUCUCAAUACCACCGCUGUCUUGAGCGGAGUCCGAUCACGACCUGACCGACUAGGUCACCUCAUUGGAGGCAUAUAUAUCAAUCAAUAUUUUAUUCCUCUUAUCUGAAAUUCAAUAUCAUCACAUUACCACUAUGUGUGCAACAUGGUGUCCGAUCACAACCCGAUUGGCUAGUCGCCUUCCUAAGCGUUAUUCCUUUCUCAUUAUUCAACACAUCAAACUCUUUACUUCACAUACCUCAUAUCAAUUCCUUGGCACUUAGGGCCACCAUUAUCACAUUAUUUUCUAUUGUCAAUACUCAUUUUUCAAGUUAUGAUCAUAGGCAUAUACAAAAAAAAAAAUUCAAGUUACAAUCACGAGUAAGUGAGCACAUAGCUAGCAUGCAUAUUUCUCCAUUUUGAUAUUGACUUAUAGCCCAAGUAUUUCAACAGACUGUUAUAUUUUUCAUCCUUCUCUAAUUAUCAAGAAUGGUACAUUACACCCUUUGAGGUACAUCCUUUAUGUAUAUGGGUAGAUAAUUACAAGUCAAUUAAUGCGCAACAAAAAUCAAUACAUUAACCAUUCCAAACUUACCACACUUUCGUAAAAACCAGUGGAGCUCAAUUUCUAACAAAAGGGGGUUUAAGUCAUACAUACCUCAAAUUCACUGCUUAAUGAUACUACAAUGACCCACUACUCUUAGGUAACUUCAAUCUACAAUGCAACAUUCAGUAGGGCCAAUAUUAGUAAUAAUUUUCAUAACUUAUGCCAUUUAGACAUUUUAUUAAACACCUUGUAGGUAUAGAUAUUUACACCUCAUAACUACGGUAUUUGUUUAUCCAACUACCACCAUUAACCAACAAUUCAUCCCACUAUUUUUCUUUAACAAUUUAUACUCCUAACAUCACAUAUGUGAUCAACCAUUCGCACCGAACCAACAAAAUUCCAUUGAAUAAUCACCUUAACUCUCUACCAUGGUCAUGUAUUUAAAUUGGGAAUUUAUGGCUUCCAAUCACCAUACCGUAAGUUGUAAUACUUGAUUCAUACUCAUAUUCUCAUAAUAUAUCCAUAUAUGUAAGUCUAAGGUGUGGGAUUUAAGAAAUCUUGUAAAACCCUCCUUUGAGUUCAUGAAGGAACUUCUUGAAAAUCUAAGUGUUUAAUGAGAAGAUUUUUAUCAAUAAUAGUGUAGGCAUGAUGGAAUUUCACACCAAGAUAAUGAAGAUUGCUUACCUUGAAGAUUGGGGGGGAGGGGUGAAAGGUCUUGAGAGGGUGAAAGAAGAACCCCAAGUUCGUCCAAAUGAAAUGGGUAAAAAUGAACACCAAAAUGAGUAUUAUAGGCUGUUUCGGGCACCACAGGUGGCGCUGGGCACUGCCUGUGGCGUUGAUUCCAGUAGCUCAAUAAUUCCUGGCGCCACAGCUAGCACUCGGCGCUACCUAGGGCGCUGGCGACGGAAGGGAAACGAAAAUGAUCAUAACUUUCUGUAUGCACCUCCAAACAAUGAACGGGUUUUUACGUUGGAAACUAGACUCAAAGAGAUUUAAUUUGAUAGGUUGUGCAUCACACAAAUCUUUAAAUAACUGGAGAUAUGAUCAUUCAAAGUGAGAUUUUGUGCACACCCAUUUACAACUUUCGUCUAAUAUAAAAUUUUCCAACUUGGCUUAGACUUAGACCUCUCCUUAGACCCCAAUUCACCUCUAAUAUGACUUAUAUGCUUAUUAACAUCUCCAAUUGAUACACGUUAUAUCAUGAAUCCUCAUUUACACACAAAAUAAAAUAAUUAGCAUACCUUGGUACGGCGAAGUCUUAAAUUACUCGAAAAUAACUUUUCCAGGUCCUUACAUUCUCCCCCCCCCCCAAGAUCACUCGUCCUUGAAUGAGGAUCAAGGUUCACUCAUUAGUCAUUCUCAUGUAACUUCUGCUAUUUCACAUUAUGAACUAUAUCAACAGCCCCGAAUUUAGCUAACUCCUUAAAUUUCUGAAAAUUUUGGCAGAGUUUCCUUUGUAACUAAGAUUAUCCACCUAUCAGAGGGCCCCAGAUACACAUUCCAACAGCAUAAAAUGUUCCAUAGACAUAACAUAACUUGUUCAACACCAACCAUGGCCGUAUGGGAAACAUACAUAACCAAAAUGGAAUUGUUUAACAUAGAUCAAACCUAAAGAUAAGAGAUUAUAGGAACCAAAGGCAUGAAAGUUAUUACAUACCUAUUCAAACAAAUAUAGGUACUUCUUUCUCAUUUCUUCCUUGGCUUCCCAAGUGGUUUCCUCAACCUGCUGGUUUCGCCAUAACAUUUUUACUGAGGCAAUUUCCUUAUUUCUCAAUUUUCGGACUUGCCUAUCAAGAAUGGUAACCGGGAUUUAUUCAUAAGAUAGAUCUUCAUGAACCUCAAUAGCUCAAUUGGCACAAUAAUGGAUGGAUCUCCCACUACCUUCUUCAACAGAGAUACAUGGAAGACCGGACGUACCAUCGACAUCUCGGGUGGCAGUUCUAGCUUGGAUGCCACAUGACUGGUUCUCUGAAUGAUUUUGUAUAGUCCGACGUACCUUGGACUUAACUUCGGUGUCUUCCGGAAUCUCAUGAUGUCCUUCAUGGGGGAAACAUUCAAAAUUACCCAAUCAUCUUUUUUGGACUCCAAAUCUCUGUGACGAAUGUCCGAAUAAGACUUUUGGCGACUUUGAGUAGUUUUUAACCUCUCCUUAAUGAUCUUUACUUUCUCCAUGGCCUGAUGCCUGAGAUCUGACCCUAUCAAUUCUACUUCUCCAACCUUGAACCAUCCAACAGGAGACCUGCAUCUCCUAUCAUACAGUGCCUUAAAUGGUGCCAUCUGGAUACUAGCAUCAAAGCUGUUGUUAUAAGAAAACUCUAUGAGUGGCAAAUGGUCAUCCCAACUACCUUUGAAAUCAAGAGUACAAGUUUGCAACAUGUCCUCAAGUAUCUGAAUAGUCCGCUCUGUUUGCCCAUCGGUUUAUGGAUGAAAAGGUAUGAUAAGGUUCACCUGCGUACCUAAACCUUGUUGAAACAUUUUCCAAAAGUUGGCUGUGAACUGAACCCCUUGAUCGCAAAUGAUCGAAACUGGAGUGCCAUGCAACCUAACUAUUUCCUUGAUAUAUUACUGAGCACACUAUUCCGUUGUGUUGGUGGAUUUAACCGGUAAAAAGUGUGCUGACUUCGUGAGUCGAUCCACGAUCACCCAAAUUGAGUCGAACUUGCAUGGAGUGCGCGGCAGCCCUACCAAAAAUCCAUAUUGAUCAUCUCCCAUUUUCACAUUGGAAUUUCUAUGAUUUGGGCCAAUCCGCGGCCUUUGAUGUUCGGCCUUCACUUGUUGACAAUUCGGACAUUUUGCCACAAAAUCCGCCACAUCCCUCUUCAUGUUGUUCCACCAAUAAAUUUCCAUAAGAUCAUAAUACAUUUUUGUAUAACCUGGGUGUACGGAAUACUUGGAAGUGUGAGCUUCUGCCAUGACUCUUCCCCGAAGACCAUCAAUAUCUGGAAUACAUAGGCGGCCUUGGUACCGUAGGGUAUCAUCAUCCAUGCCAAGAGAAAAAGUUGUGGUUUUGUGUUUGUGAAUCCCUUCUUUCGGUUGUGAUAACAAUGGAUCGUUGAAUUGCUUCUCUUUCACUUCUGCCACAAGCGAUGAUUCAACCUUAUUCUGCACAAUUACUCCCCCUUCAUUGGAGUUCACCAGGCGAACUCUCAAACUAGCGAACUGGUGAACCUCUCUGGCCAGCGGCCUCUCAUAUGCCUCCAAAUGAGCUAAACUCCCCAUGGAUUUUUGACUAAGAGCAUCCGCUACAACAUUAGUCUUUCCCGGGUGAUAGAGAAUAUCAAUGUCAUAGUCUUUGGGUAAUUCUAGCCACCUUCUUUGCCUCAGGUUCAACUCCUUCUGCUUGAAAAUAUAUUGAAAGGCUCUUAUGAUCCGCAAAUACAUCCACAUGGACCCCACACAAAAUACUGUCGCCAGAUCUUUAACGCAAAUACCAUUACUGCCAGCUCAUGCUUAAUACUUGAGAUUUGAUUUGCUUCUUGAUAAUAACUGAGUUCGUGCCUUCGAGGCUGGAUAUGACAUUUUAGAGUCUUUAUAUAGGUACAUGCUAGUGAUUUAUUAUUAAUUUUUUGUCUGUUCUAUUGCUACUUGUUGCACACCCUCCAUGUCUAUUUUGUGUAUUUUAUUGUUGUUGGACCAUUAGUAAGUGUCAAGUCGACCCCUCGUAACUACUUCUUCGAGGUUAGAUUAGAUACUUACUAGGUACGCAUUGUUUUAUGUACUCUUGCUACACUUCUGCAUUGAUUGUGAAGGUACUCAGACAAGUACUUUCAGUGGUCACAUGGGCGCGUAGACGUACUUCCCGAAGACUUAGUGGUGAGAUGCUUUCCUUGCUUCGAUCUACAAUAUCAGUCUCCCUCUACCUUAUUUCUGUUUCUAUCUAUGUUACUUUAGACAAUAGAUGUAGUAGUUUUGUAUAUUUCCUAGAUUGCUCAUGCACUUGUGGCACCGGAUUUGGGGGCUUACAUCGUUUAUGAACUGCUAUACUUAUUUAUUACUAUCACCGUAAUUUAUGUAUUAUCCACAUUUGAUAUUUUAGGGAAAGAAGUAUGUACGGCUCCAUGAGAUUUUACUUUCAUUCGGUGUAUUUAAGGAAACUUCAGUUUUUGAAAGUUAAAAAGGGAAAAUUAAAUUGAAGGUUCACGUAUGGGCUUGCCUAACGGCAGAUCGCCACCAUUAUGACCUAUUAUAGGUUUUGGGUCGAGACAUCUUCUAACUCAAAUCAGUUGUUAUGAUUGAAAAUAUUUUCGCUUAAACAUAAAUUGAGUAGAAAAAAGUUAAAUUUUUAGCUGCUAUCGUUAUGUUUUUUAGUUCCAGGCUUUGGAUCACCAUCUUCAAAUCUUCUACUCUAGUACUGUGAUCUACAUUAUUUGCUAGUAUAAUCUCACUUUUUGUAAGCUAAUUUUUUGUGAAAUUCUAUUAAUAUUUGAGAUGCUCUUCCAUUUUUAUUGUUAGGGCUAGGUGUUAGUCGUUAUUUUGGAGUUCAGCCUCUUUUAACUUAAAUGGGUAGGAAUUGUAAUUAUUUAAUGAAUAGAGCAGGUAAAUAUUUUAACUUUUAUAGGUAAUACUGUUUUCCCCACGCUUAAUUAGCCUGUUUGGUUGAAGGAUGCGAAAUCCGACGCAAAACGAAUCCUUGUCCGACCCGAUCCAGGAGAGUAGCAUAGUCUUUGAGAAAGAGAUGAUGGUCGGAUAAGGAUAGAAAGCCCCACCUUUCGUUUCCCUCUUUUUUAUUAGCCAUAUACUCGUUCAUUCACUCUCACACAUUGAACUCAGAAACUAGGAGCGAGAGAGAGAGUGAUACACUCCUAUCACCUCAGCAGAAACAACUUCAAAGCUGGGUUUGUCCUUAAACCUUCUGUUUUUAGUUUCUACUCCUUUCUUUUGAAUUUCCAUUUUUAGCUUCAUUUGCGAGUUGUUGUGUGAAAAUAGUUUAAGUUCUUCGUGUAACUAUGCCAUUGAAUCUUUUAAUUGAAAGGUAACUCAGUAUCCUCAGUUUAUCCAAAAAUGUUGGUUUUGGUUUAUUGAAUUGUUAAGGAUAAAUUUCUGGUGAGAUAAUCAGCGAAUUUACUUGGUUGUUUGCAAAAUAUAUCAUGUUGAAUUGCAUUUGUGAAUUAUCUUUUUAUGGGAUGCAUUCAUUUUCACAUCUGAUAUGUGGAGAGUAGGCUUGUCAGCUCUUUCAUUCUUUUUAAUGAAUUCGAGUUCUUCUAAUCUGCUGGUCUACAAGUUAAACAAACUAACUGGACUAGGAAGAGUUUUUAGAGUAUGGAAUUGCUUAUACUCCCUCCUAUGCGAAGCUAUUGAGUAAGCAUGAAGUUUAAGAAUGAAAUGAAGACUUUCGGAACUUGUGGUCUUAAACAUGCCAUCACAUUUCUUUGGCUAUAAAAGCUUGUCAUUGAGAAUAAAAUAGGAAGCGUAAGUUGAAUUGUUUUCAAGUUUAGAAACGGACCAUUCAUCUCGUAAUGGAUUAAAAAUGAAAAUAGGGUCACGUAUACCGGAACGAAGGGAGUAAUAUAUUUUCAACCACAAUCUUGAUGUUCAAGUACAAAUCCAUCUUUAAAUUUUGUUGUUUGUGUGUCCUUUUCGUUGAAUUAGCAGGCGCAUGCCUGGAUGGUUAAAGUCUAACCGUAUGCCAUUAUCCAUCGAUUUCAUGAACUGUAGUACUAUAUUACCCAGGGCUUUACUGGUUUUCUAUAUUUUCAUAGUCUUUUGGCUUAUGGUGCAUUUGCUAUCACAAUAUUUUGACAUUGGAUGAUAGUUAUGUUUUCUUCUUUCUCUAACUGUUUCAUUUAUUUCUCAGGCGCAAAACAGAUGAUCCAAUCCUUGUAGUUCACAAAUCUUUGACACAUCUCAAAUGAACAUGGCUCCGAUGGUUCCAAUUGCAACUAGCAAUGUUUCAGUUACACCAGGAGCUGUCUUUAUCACGAGAAAGAAUACAUGUUUAUCAAGAUGCAAUGUUUUGCGGAAAUCGAGCAAGCAAACUUUACCUACCCCAAAAUAUAACCUGCCUCUGUCAACAUCUGUUAAAUUGUUUCCCCAUUUUAGAGUUGGUUGCAUUUUACAACCUCAAUUAAGAGGUUUCAUAGUAUCAGCAACUGAAACUGAUGUAGCAGUGGAAGAAGUAGAAUCAGCUGCUACAGAUGAUGGAUCAGGUGAAGCCUCAGAAGCUUCAUCGGAUGCUUCUAAUACAAGUGAAGAAACAUCUGUUCGAGCUAAGCGUACAAGACCUGCUAGGAAGAGUGAGAUGCCCCCUGUGAAGAAUGAAGAUCUUAUUCCGGGUGCAACUUUUACUGGAAAGGUCAGAUCAAUCCAGCCAUUUGGCGCUUUUGUUGAUUUUGGAGCUUUUACAGAUGGACUUGUGCAUGUUUCUAGGUUGAGUGAUAGUUUUGUAAAGGAUGUCGGAAGCAUUGUAUCUGUUGGACAAGAGGUGACAGUGAGAUUAGUUGAAGCAAACACUGAGACUGGGCGCAUAUCUCUCACCAUGCGUGAAAGUGAUGAUCCUAGUAGGCCUCAGCAACAGAAAGAUGCUCCAACCAGCAGUGACAGACCCCGAACUCCAAGGAAGAACACACAAAGGAACAACCAAAGGAGAGAUGAGGUUAAGAAAGUCUCGAAGUUUGUCAAAGGGCAAGAUCUUGAGGGCACUGUAAAAAAUUUAGCCAGAUCUGGUGCUUUUAUAUCUCUUCCUGAAGGAGAGGAAGGAUUCCUGCCUGCAUCGGAGGAAGCUGAUGAAGCGUUUGGAAUUAUCGACAGUGGCUCUUCACUACAAGUAGGUCAAGAAGUUAGUGUCCGUGUAUUACGCAUUACCAGAGGACAGGUAACUUUGACUAUGAAAAAAGAAGAAGCUGCUUCAGAGUUGGACUCAAAGCUCAACCAGGGUGUUGUCCAUUUGGCGACAAAUCCUUUCGUUUUGGCUUUCCGUAGCAAUGAAGAAAUCUCUUCAUUUCUGGAUGAGAGGGAAAAAGAGGAGGAACUAGCUGAACAAUCAAAGGAAGAUGCAGAGGAAGCAGAUGUGGCGGCUGAUAAGACGGAUGUCUUGCCUGAAACUACAGGCAAUGAGGAAGAAACAGUCAAUGCUGCAAUUGAUAGUUUUCCUGAAACUAUAGAUGACGAGGAUACAAAACAAAACAUUGAUGAAGAAGUGGAGUCAGUUUCUGAAAAUGCUGAGCCGUCACCUGUUGGAGAUGCUGUGGAACCUGAAGCUGAAACUGGCUCAUCUGAGCAAAUAACUGAUCAGAUUUCAGCAUCUGAAACUGUGGCUGGCGAGAAGGUCGUGGAGAAACUAACUGAUGAUGCAGUAGCGAAAAAUGAGGUUGAAACUCAAAUGGCAAGUGUCACAGAAGCUGCCAAAGAAACAGAGGAAACUAGUGGCGAUGAGAAUGGAAGUAUACCAAGCCCAGCUGGACAAUCUGAAGCUCCUUUGGAGAAUAGCAAGGAUGAAGGUUUCUACUAUGAAACUUUCCUAGUUCCCCUCUGAUUUAUUACUCAUUUCACAUCCUUGCUUCUUGCAUGCAUGUUCAUGACAAACAACCAGAUACAAGUAUUACAUUGUGAGCCACCAAAUGUGUGAUUCCAAAAUAAGGUGUUGAUGCAUGAUAUACGUACACUUUACAUAUUAUCUGUGGAAAAGUGGAUGGUAAGCAAAGGCACUUCUAGUAUAGUUCAUGUUGACAGUUUGGUAUAGUAUUCUUCUGUUGCUUCAUCCUAUUGCAUCUGUCAGUCCUUACAGUCUCCAGUUUUAUGUAUAGAGUGCCUUCUUUUGACCAACUCAUGUCCUUUUAGGUUUGAUUGACAUAUUGAGAGAGAAUCAUCUUCUUGCUUUGGGCAAAUCUUGAAAUUUACUUAAGGACAUAAUGUUGUGUUAUGUGAGAAAGAUAAAUUAAUGAUGUGUCACCAAGAAACUAGCUGACAAUCCAAUUUUGCAUACAGUAAGUCAGGAAGGUGCUGAAGUUCUGGAGAGUAAAGUUGAAAAUACUCCUUCCAUAGAGGACCAAUCAUCUGAUACAGCUGCUCAGCAGGAGGAGGUGACUACCACUGCUGAGCGAGAUAGAAAUGUUGCAAACUCAAGUGAGCAAAAUGGGACUGCUUCAUCAAAUGAAGCCGCAGCAAAAGGUUUUGCCUUCAUUUUCCCUUUCUUUUCUGGAAUAUAGCUGCCAUUAACAUGUUAAAGCGGAAAUAAGAAUCUCUAGAGUAAAAUUUGUGUAUCUAGUUGCCAAACAUUUGUUUAGUAGGUAUGAUGUGAAAAUUUCAGCACCAAGUGCUGUAAUAAUUGUGCGACAAUGAUUUAGAAGCUUGUUGCAUCCGGAAGGGGUGGACGUCUACCUACUACUUGGAGAAAGACGUUGCGUUAGAGGAUAGUCAUUUUUUACACGUGUAAACCUUACUGCAUGCUAAAUAUGUGUCUUAAAAUGUGAGCCAGAAAACUCGCGUUCUGGUUACAAAGUGCAGCUACAUUUAGUUGUUUCAUUGUUCGUUAAUUGAAGUGGUAAACAUCAUGUUUUUGCGAACAAGAUAGAAAUGUUGCGAAGUCAAGGGAACAAAAUGGGACUGCUUUAUCAAAUGAAGCCGCAGCAAAAGGUUUUGCCUUUAUUUUCCCUUUCUUUUCUGGAAUAUAGCUGUCAUUAACAUGUUAAAGCGGAAAUAAGAAUCUCUAGAGUAAAAUUUGUGGAUAUAGUUGCCAAACAUUUGUUUUAGUAGGUAUGAUGUGAAAAAUUCAACACUGAGUGCUGUAAUAAUUGUGCGACAAAGAUUUAGAAGCUUGUCACAUCUGCGAGGGGUGGCCAUUUACCUACUACUUGAAGAAAGACGUUGUAUUAGAGGAUAGAUUUUUUACACAUGUACACUUACUGCAUGCUCCAGCUACGUUUAGUUGUUUCUUUGAUCAUUAAUUGAAGUGGUAAACAUCAUUUUUUUUCCAUGGUAUUCAGAGUUUGUGAUGAAGGAGACUCCAAAUUGAAGAGAACUGCUUCUCUCUACCUACGUUGUACUUAUAUAUCUCAAAUCUAUUGUAAGCAUAUAUCUUUAUUUGAUCCCAAAUAAUUCGUCCCCAGUAAUGGUAAAAUUUGCCCGUUAUACUGCCUUCAUGAUUCGAUUUGGGAGUAUGAAAACACUAACGAUGAGAUUUGUGCUACAAACACAGUUCCCUGCUCAUUGAGUCUUUAGUCACAGUAGAUUCUUUCUUCUUUUUCUUUUUUCCCUAUGGAAUAAAAAAAGAAUCUAGUAUCAUUAAAGAUAACAGAAUGCAGGCUUCACCCUUACAAGAGAUCUAAUCCAUUAUAUAGCUUAUCCAAACAACUACAAGAGAUCUAAUCCAUUAUAUAACAUUUAUGACAAGAGGGGUUGCUCUGAUGGUAAGCAACCCCCACUUCCAACCGAGAGGUUGUGNNNNNNNNNNNNNNNNNNNNNNNNNNNNNNNNNNNNNNNNNNNNNNNNNNNNNNNNNNNNNNNNNNNNNNNNNNNNNNNNNNNNNNNNNNNNNNNNNNNNNNNNNNNNNNNNNNNNNNNNNNNNNNNNNNNNNNNNNNNNNNNNNNNNNNNNNNNNNNNNNNNNNNNNNNNNNNNNNNNNCUCUACCCAAGGGUAGGGGUAAGGUCUGCGUACACACUACCCUCCCCAGACCCCACUAAGUGCGAUUAUACUGGGUUGUUGUUGUUGUUGUUGUUGAACUAAGUGAUAAAUAUUGAUGCUAGAGAUAAAUCUUGAAGAGAAUUUGAGUACUAAUAUCCAGAAAGUUCAGGUUGACUCUUUCCUUAUUGUGUCACAAAAGGUCAAAUUUGUGGAAAGUCUUGACUUAUGAAUAUAAAUUUUGACAAUGAGGAUGGGUGAUGUCUAUAUUUAACGUUACUGGUUGUUGAAAUCUUAGUCGAUCACUAGUUUGCCUUUGUAGGUGAAAUCUGUGGUUUUCUGAAAAAACCUAUUCAUUUCUUUCUGACUCUGCCCCUUUCAGUCCGUUUAAAAUCUGUUAAUGGGAUUAGUUAUGUUCAGAUACUCUAUUACGGUUGUAGGGCCAUCCAACAUCCUCUGCUUUCUUUGUCUCUUGACCUUCUUUUUGUUGGCCUAAUUCACUUAUUCCGCCAAGCUCUCUCUUUGUAAUGUGAAUUUGGAUACUGAAAUAAAGUAAAAUUGUCAUCCAUCAUAAUUAUUACAUGGUACUGUUAUAGCGAAACACUACUGCCAAAUGCACGUCUGCUCCACUAAAUCCUGCCCCUGUGGUAUUGUGGCAGCUAUUUCACCUGCUCUUGUGAAACAAUUGCGUGAAGAGACAGGAGCUGGAAUGAUGGACUGCAAGAAUGCUCUUUCAGAAACUGGAGGUGACAUUGUUAAAGCGCAGGAGUAUCUCAGGAAAAAGGGGUUGGCAAGUGCUGAUAAGAAAUCAACUAGAGCUACAGCUGAAGGUAGAAUUGGCUCAUACAUCCACGACAGCAGAAUCGGUGUCCUGAUAGAGGUUAACUGCGAGACAGAUUUUGUAUCGCGUGGUGACAUUUUCAAGGAAUUAGUUGAUGACUUAGCCAUGCAAGUGGCUGCAUACCCCCAAGUGCAGUAUCUUGUUCCAGAAGAUGUUCCAGAGGAGAUCAUCAACAAGGAAAGAGAAAUCGAGAUGCAGAAGGAAGACCUAUUGUCAAAACCUGAGCAGAUCAGAUCCAAGAUCGUUGAUGGCCGGAUAAAUAAGAGGCUUGAAGAACUGGCCUUACUGGAGCAACCUUACAUCAAGAAUGAUAAGUGUUGAUGGGCGGAUAAAUAAGAGGCUUGAAGAACUGGCCUUACUGGAGCAACCUUACAUCAAGAAUGAUAAAUUGGUUGUAAAGGACUGGGUCAAGCAGACAAUUGCAACGAUUGGUGAAAACAUCAAAGUGAAGAGAUUUGUGAGAUACAACCUGGGAGAAGGUCUUGAAAAGAAGAGCCAAGACUUUGCAGC
rnacentral:lncRNA from 1 species